rnacentral:rRNA from 1 species
UACGGAGGGUGCGAGCGUUGUCCGGAUUUAUUGGGUUUAAAGGGUGCGUAGGUGGCUUUUUUAAGUCAGUGGUGAAAUACAGCCGCUCAACGGUUGAGGUGCCAUUGAUACUGAAGAGCUUGAAACAAGUGGAGGCUGCCGGAAUGGAUGGUGUAGCGGUGAAAUGCAUAGAUAUCAUCCAGAACACCGAUUGCGAAGGCAGGUGGCUACGUUUGAUUUGACACUGAGGCACGAAAGCAUGGGGAGCAAACAGG